CCCUUAGAUGUUCUGGGCUGCACGCGCGCUACACUGAUGCACUCAACGAGUUUACGACCUUGUCCGAGAGGAUUGGGUAAUCUUUUUAAAAUGCAUCGUGAUAGGGAUAGAUUAUUGCAAUUAUUAAUCUUCAACGAGGAAUGCCUAGUAGGCGCAAGUCAUCAGCUUGCGUCGAUUACGUCCCUGCCCUUUGUACACACCGCCCGUCGCUCCUACCGAUUGGGUGUGCUGGUGAAAUGUUCGGAUCGGCCGUUUGUCGCGGUUUCCGCGUCAUGUGGCUGAGAAGUUCAUUAAACCCUCCCACCUAGAGGAAGGAGAAGUCGUAACA
rnacentral:rRNA from 1 species